rnacentral:rRNA from 1 species
AAUCAACGCUGGCGGCGUGCCUAACACAUGCAAGUCGAACGCGAAAGUCCCGCAAGGGAUGAGUAGAGUGGCGAACGGGUGAGUAACGCGUGGGUGACCUACCUCGGAGUGGGGGAUAACGUCUCGAAAGGGACGCUAAUACCGCAUGACAUCCGGCCUUUGGAGAGGCGGAGAUCAAAGCUGGGGCUCGCAAGACCUGGCGCUUUGAGAGGGGCCCGCGUCCGAUUAGCUAGUUGGUGGGGUAAUGGCCUACCAAGGCGACGAUCGGUAGCCGGCCUAAGAGGGCGGACGGCCACACUGGGACUGAGACACGGCCCAGACUCCUACGGGAGGCAGCAGUGGGGAAUUGUUCGCAAUGGGCGCAAGCCUGACGACGCAACGCCGCGUGGAGGACGAAGGCUUCGGGU